rnacentral:snRNA from 1 species
CUGGUUUCAACAUCACAUAUACUAAAAUUGGAACAAUAUAAAAGAGAUUAGCAUAGCCCCUGUGCAAGGCUGACAUGCAAAUUCAUGAAGCAUUCCGUAUUUUU